rnacentral:rRNA from 1 species
UACGGGGGGGGCAAGCGUUGUUCGGAAUUACUGGGCGUAAAGGGCUCGUAGGUGGCCAACUAAGUCAGACGUGAAAUCCCUCGGCUUAACCGGGGAACUGCGUCUGAUACUGGAUGGCUUGAGGUUGGGAGAGGGAUGCGGAAUUCCAGGUGUAGCGGUGAAAUGCGUAGAUAUCUGGAGGAACACCGGUGGCGAAGGCGGCAUCCUGGACCAAUUCUGACGCUGAGGAGCGAAAGCUAGGGGAGCAAACGGG